rnacentral:lncRNA from 1 species
AGGAAUGGAGAGAAACACUGUAAGGAAUCUUUUAAAGUUGAUUUCUUUGCAUCUUUGGCUACCUAAAUGACACAGUCAAUAUUACUAGACUGGACAGGGGGAAACUGAUGGCAGAUUCUCAGAGGAAACCUCUGAUGGAAGGCCAGAAAGUCUGUAUUUAAUGACUUUAAAUCCUCGAGCAACCUGGUCUAGGGAUCGUUUACACUUGAGAAGAACUACUGAACAGCACGUGCCAGAGAUUGAGGUCCAGGUCAAACGUAGAAGGACAGCCUCACUGAGCAACCAAGAGUGUCACUUGUACCCAAGGCGUUCUCAGCAACAGCAAAUUCCUGUGGUGGAUUUCCAGGCAGAACUGAGACAGGCGUUCUUAGCUGAGACACCAAGAGGUGGUUAAAGCAGUAUUGGAACUGUGGGGUGGUGGAAGUCAACAAAAACAG